UCCAGCUUUACCAGAGUAAGAUGUCCCGAA
rnacentral:piRNA from 1 species